UGCAAGUCGAACGAACUCUGGUAUUGAUUGGUGCUUGCAUCAUGAUUUACAUUUGAGUGAGUGGCGAACUGGUGAGUAACACGUGGGAAACCUGCCCAGAAGCGGGGGAUAACACCUGGAAACAGAUGCUAAUACCGCAUAACAACUUGGACCGCAUGGUCCGAGUUUGAAAGAUGGCUUCGGCUAUCACUUUUGGAUGGUCCCGCGGCGUAUUAGCUAGAUGGUGGGGUAAUGGCUCACCAUGGCAAUGAUACGUAGCCGACCUGAGAGGGUAAUCGGCCACAUUGGGACUGAGACACGGCCCAAACUCCUACGGGAGGCAGCAGUAGGGAAUCUUCCACAAUGGACGAAAGUCUGAUGGAGCAACGCCGCGUGAGUGAAGAAGGGUUUCGGCUCGUAAAACUCUGUUGUUAAAGAAGAACAUAUCUGAGAGUAACUGUUCAGGUAUUGACGGUAUUUAACCAGAAAGCCACGGCUAACUACGUGCCAGCAGCCGCGGUAAUACGUAGGUGGCAAGCGUUGUCCGGAUUUAUUGGGCGUAAAGCGAGCGCAGGCGGUUUUUUAAGUCUGAUGUGAAAGCCUUCGGCUCAACCGAAGAAGUGCAUCGGAAACUGGGAAACUUGAGUGCAGAAGAGGACAGUGGAACUCCAUGUGUAGCGGUGAAAUGCGUAGAUAUAUGGAAGAACACCAGUGGCGAAGGCGGCUGUCUGGUCUGUAACUGACGCUGAGGCUCGAAAGUAUGGGUAGCAAACAGGAUUAGAUACCCUGGUAGUCCAUACCGUAAACGAUGAAUGCUAAGUGUUGGAGGGUUUCCGCCCUUCAGUGCUGCAGCUAACGCAUUAAGCAUUCCGCCUGGGGAGUACGGCCGCAAGGCUGAAACUCAAAGGAAUUGACGGGGGCCCGCACAAGCGGUGGAGCAUGUGGUUUAAUUCGAAGCUACGCGAAGAACCUUACCAGGUCUUGACAUACUAUGCAAAUCUAAGAGAUUAGACGUUCCCUUCGGGGACAUGGAUACAGGUGGUGCAUGGUUGUCGUCAGCUCGUGUCGUGAGAUGUUGGGUUAAGUCCCGCAACGAGCGCAACCCUUAUUAUCAGUUGCCAGCAUUAAGUUGGGCACUCUGGUGAGACUGCCGGUGACAAACCGGAGGAAGGUGGGGAUGACGUCAAAUCAUCAUGCCCCUUAUGACCUGGGCUACACACGUGCUACAAUGGAUGGUACAACGAGUUGCGAACUCGCGAGAGUAAGCUAAUCUCUUAAAGCCAUUCUCAGUUCGGAUUGUAGGCUGCAACUCGCCUACAUGAAGUCGGAAUCGCUAGUAAUCGCGGAUCAGCAUGCCGCGGUGAAUACGUUCCCGGGCCUUGUACACACCGCCCGUCACACCAUGAGAGUUUGUAACACCCAAAGUCGGUGGGGUAACCUUUUAGGAACCAGCCGCCUAA
rnacentral:rRNA from 1 species